rnacentral:rRNA from 1 species
AGAAUCAACGCUGGCGGCGCGCUUAACACAUGCAAGUCGAGCGAGAAAGCGGAGCAAUCCGUGAGUAAAGCGGCGUACGGGUGAGUAACACGUGGAUGAUCUACCUUUUAGUGGGGGAUAACCCUGGGAAACCGGGGCUAAUAUCGCAUAAGCCUGAGAAGGGAAAGCAGCAAUGCGCUGAAAGAGGAGUCCGCGGCCGAUUAGCUAGUUGGUGAGGUAAUGGCUCACCAAGGCGAUGAUCGGUAGCCGGCCUGAGAGGGCACACGGCCACACUGGCACUGAAACACGGGCCAGACUCCUACGGGAGGCAGCAGUGGGGAAUCUUGCACAAUGGAGGCAACUCUGAUGCAGCGACGCCGCGUGAGCGAUGAAGCCCCUCGGGGUGUAAAGCUCUUUCGGCAGGGACGAUAAUGACGGUACCUGAAGAAGAAGCUGCGGCUAACUACGCGCCAGCAGCCGCGGU